GUCGAGAAUCAUUCGCAAUGGGCGAAAGCCUGACGGUGCGACGCCGCGUGGAGGAUGAAGGCCCUAGGGUCGUAAACUCCUGUCAUCAGGGAGUAAAGACUCGUGUAGUCACUGACACGGGUCCUGAUAGUACCUGAAGAGGAAGGGACGGCAAACUUCGUGCCAGCAGCCGCGGUAAUACGAAGGUCCCAAGCGUUGUUCGGAUUUACUGGGCGUAAAGAGUCUGUAGGCGGCGGGGUAAGUCAGAUGUGAAAUCCCGGGGCUCAACCCCGGAACUGCAUCCGAUACUGCCUUGCUAGAGUAUUGGAGGGGAGUCUGGAAUUCUCGGUGUAGCAGUGAAAUGCGUAGAUAUCGAGAGGAACACUAGUGGCGAAAGCGAGCUACUGGACAAUAUCUGACGCUGAGGCUCGAAGGCCAGGGUAGCGAAAGGGAUUAGAUACCCUAGUAGUCC
rnacentral:rRNA from 1 species